rnacentral:tRNA from 1 species
GCCCCAUUGGCGCAGUCGGUUAGCGCGUGGUACUUAUAGAAUGCCAAGGUCGCCAGUUCGAGCCUGGCAUGGGGCA